GAUGAACGCUAGCGGCAGGCUUAACACAUGCAAGUCGAGGGGUAGAAGGAGCUUGCUCCUUUGAGACCGGCGCACGGGUGCGUAACGCGUAUGCAAUCUACCUUUUGCAGAGGGAUAGCCCAGAGAAAUUUGGAUUAAUACCUCAUAGUAUGUGAGGAUGGCAUCAUUUUCACAUUAAAGUCACAACGGCAAAGAUGAGCAUGCGUCCCAUUAGCUAGUUGGUAAGGUAACGGACUUACCAAGGCUACGAUGGUAGGGGUCCGUGAGAGGGA
rnacentral:rRNA from 1 species